rnacentral:lncRNA from 1 species
UAUUGCUUCCGAAAAAUUAAUUAUUUUUUGGAUAUGCAAUACUGAUGAGUCCAUAAUGAGGACGAAACAAUAUGUUGCUCAUCAGAUGCCAAUAUGUUUUUUUUAAUCAUAUUUUCUUAUAGGCACCAUUUUAAUCGCGGCCAACCAGAUGAUAGUAACCAGAUUUCAAUUUAAAGGAAACACGUUCAAAGGGCUUGACAAUGACAAGUCCAUACACCAAACUUUGACCAGAAGACUACAGAUUGAGGGAAAAAUUACAUCUUCCUGGAGUUUUGGAUUGCUCGAGAUUUAAUUAUUGGUCAUUAAAAUGCAAGACACAGAAAUGACAUCCCUUACUGAGGAAUAGAUACGUUCAAAGAUUUCAGCAAAGCAGAUAUUUCUUUUUUGUUGCACAAUAUUUGGCCCUUCAAAUUGGAGAACAACCAUGCAUCUUAAAACAGAGGCUCUCCAGUCCCAACUAAUGCUUCUAAGCAAAGUCUACGAGAAAUACAAAUAAUUUCAAUAUUGUGUUAGCUACAUUAACGUUUUAG